UGGGGAAUAUUGCACAAUGGAGGGAACUCUGCUGCAGCAACGCCGCGUGCGGGAUGACGGCCUUCGGGUUGUAAACCGCUUUCAGCCAUGACGAAGCUUUUGUGACGGUAGUGGUAGAAGAAGCACCGGCUAACUACGUGCCAGCAGCCGCGGUGAUACGUAGGGUGCGAGCGUUGUCCGGAAUUAUUGGGCGUAAAGAGCUUGUAGGCGGUUUGUCGCGUCGAUAGUGUAAACACGCAGCUUAACUGUGUGCCUGCUGUCGAUACGGGCUGACUAGAGGAGGGUAGGGGAGAAUGGAAUUCCCGGUGGAGCGGUGGAAUGCGCAGAUAUCGGGAGGAACACCAGUGGCGAAGGCGGUUCUCUGGACCUUUCCUGACGCUGAGAAGCGAAAGCGUGGGUAGCAAACAGG
rnacentral:rRNA from 1 species